rnacentral:rRNA from 1 species
AAAAAAGGUAAGCUACUAAGAGCGAAUGGUGGAUGCCUUGACUGGUAAAGGCGAUGAAGGACGUACUAGACUGCGAUAAGCUACGGGGAGCUGUCAAGAAGCUUUGAUCCGUAGAUUUCCGAAUGGGGCAACCCAAUGUAUAGAGAUAUACAUUACCUAUAUAGGAGCGAACGAGGGGAAUUGAAACAUCUUAGUACCCUCAGGAAAAGAAAUCAAUAGAGAUUGCGUCAGUAGCGGCGAGCGAAAGCGCAAGAGGGCAAACCCAGUGCUUGCACUGGGGGUUGUAGGACUGCAAUGUGCAAGAGGUGAGUUUAGCAGAACAUUCUGGAAAGUAUAGCCAUAGAGGGUGAUAGUCCCGUAUGCGAAAAACAAACCUUAGCUAGCAGUAUCCUGAGUAGGGCGGGACACGAGGAAUCCUGUCUGAAGCUGGGUCGACCACGAUCCAACCCUAAAUACUAAUACCAGAUCGAUAGUGCACAAGUACCGUGAGGGAAAGGUGAAAAGAACUGAGGUGAUCAGAGUGAAAUAGAACCUGAAACCAUUUGCUUACAAUCAUUCAGAGCCCUAUGUAGCAAUACAGGGUGAUGGACUGCCUUUUGCAUAAUGAGCCUGCGAGUUGUGGUGUCUGGCAAGGUUAAGCAAACGCGAAGCCGUAGCGAAAGCGAGUCUGAAUAGGGCGCUUAGUCAGAUGCUGCAGACCCGAAACGAAGUGAUCUAUCCAUGAGCAAGUUGAAGCUAGUGUAAGAACUAGUGGAGGACUGAACCCAUAGGCGUUGAAAAGCCCCGGGAUGACUUGUGGAUAGGGGUGAAAGGCCAAUCAAACUUCGUGAUAGCUGGUUCUCUCCGAAAUAUAUUUAGGUAUAGCGUUGUGUCGUAAUAUAAGGGGGUAGAGCACUGAAUGGGCUAGGGCAUACACCAAUGUACCAAACCCUAUCAAACUCCGAAUACCUUAUAUGUAAUCACAGCAGUCAGGCGGCGAGUGAUAAAAUCCGUCGUCAAGAGGGAAACAACCCAGACUACCAGCUAAGGUCCCUAAAUCUUACUUAAGUGGAAAACGAUGUGAAGUUACUUAAACAACCAGGAGGUUGGCUUAGAAGCAGCCAUCCUUUAAAGAAAGCGUAAUAGCUCACUGGUCUAGUGAUUUUGCGCGGAAAAUAUAACGGGGCUAAAGUAAGUACCGAAGCUGUAGACUUGCGCACAACUUAGAUUAUUUAAGUUUAGAAUAUGAGAAACUAAGUUAUAUGUUUAGUUAUAUUUUUACUGAUUUUUAUAGAGUAAAGAUAGAAAUAAAACUUAGUAAAAUCAGUAAAAAUAUUCUUAGACUAAAGUUAAGUAGUUUAAGUUGUGUGCAAGUGGUAGGAGAGCGUUCUAUUUGCGUCGAAGGUAUACCGGUAAGGAGUGCUGGAGCGAAUAGAAGUGAGCAUGCAGGCAUGAGUAGCGAUAAUUAAUGUGAGAAUCAUUAACGCCGUAAACCCAAGGUUUCCUACGCGAUGCUCGUCAUCGUAGGGUUAGUCGGGUCCUAAGUCGAGUCCGAAAGGGGUAGACGAUGGCAAAUUGGUUAAUAUUCCAAUACCAACAUUAGUGUGCGAUGGAAGGACGCUUAGGGCUAAGGGGGCUAGCGGAUGGAAGUGCUAGUCUAAGGUCGUAGGAGGUUAUACAGGCAAAUCCGUAUAACAAUACUCCGAGAACUGAAAGGCUUUUUGAAGUCUUCGGAUGGAUAGAAGAACCCCUGAUGCCAUCGAGCCAAGAAAAGUUUCUAAGUUUAGCUAAUGUUGCCCGUACCGUAAACCGACACAGGUGGGUGGGAUGAGUAUUCUAAGGCGCGUGGAAGAACUCUCUUUAAGGAACUCUGCAAAAUAGCACCGUA